rnacentral:rRNA from 1 species
AUUGAACGCUGGCGGCAGGCUUAACACAUGCAAGUCGAGCGAGCGGCGGACGGGUGAGUAAUGUCUGGGAAACUGCCUGAUGGAGGGGGAUAACUACUGGAAACGGUAGCUAAUACCGCAUAACAUCAGAUGUGCCCAGAUGGGAUGAGCUAGUAGGUGGGGUAAUGUCUGACCUAGGCGACGAUGCCUAGCUGUUCUGAGAGGAUGACCAGGGAGACUGGUACAGAGACGCGGUCCAGACUCCUCCGUGAGGGACCAGUCGGAAAGAUUGCACACAGGGCGCCAGCUGGCUGGAGGCAGGCCGCGUGUGUGAUGAAGGCCUUCGGGUUGUAAAGCACUUUAAGCGAGCAGGGGUUACUCUCAGUAGAAGCAGCGGCUAGCUCCGUGCCGGCAGCCGCGGUAAUAC